CGUAGGAAGCAAGCGUUGUCCGGAAUCACUGGGCGUAAAGCGCGUGUAGGCGGUACGGCAAGUCUGCUGUGAAAGCUCUCGGCUUAACCGGGAGAGGUCGGUGGAAACUGCCGCACUGGAGGACGGUAGAGGGGGUGGAAUUCCCGGUGUAGUGGUGAAAUGCGUAGAGAUCGGGAGGAACACCUGUGGCGAAGGCGGCCCCCUGGGCCGGCCCUGACGCUGAGACGCGAAAGCGCGGGGAGCGAACGGGAUUAGAUACCCCGGUAGUCCGCGCAGUAAACGAUGUGUACUAGGUAUGGGGGGUAUCGAGCCCCUCCGUGCCGUAGCUAACGUGAUAAGUACACCGCCUGGGGAGUACGGCCGCAAGGUUA
rnacentral:rRNA from 1 species